rnacentral:pre_miRNA from 1 species
GAUGGUAUGAUGGUACAGUGUAUUGGUAAGUGCUGAUAUCAGCACUUACCAAUACACUGUACAAUCAUACCAUC